GAUGAACGCUAGCGGCAGGCUUAACACAUGCAAGUCGAGGGGCAGCAUGAGACGGAGAUUCGUCGAAGUCUUGAUGGCGACCGGCGCACGGGUGCGUAACGCGUAUCCAACCUUCCCGAUACUCUUGGAUAGCCUUCCGAAAGGGAGAUUAAUACAAGAUGGUGUUUUAAUUCCGCAUGUUAUUAGAACUAAAGAUUUAUCGGUAACGGAUAGGGAUGCGUGACAUUAGAUAGUUGGCGGGGUAACGGCCCACCAAGUCUACGAUGUCUAGGGUUCUGAGAGGAAGGUCCCCCACACUGGAACUGAGACACGGUCCAGACUCCUACGGGAGGCAGCAGUGAGGAAUAUUGGUCAAUGGGCGAGAGCCUGAACCAGCCAAGUAGCGUGCAGGAUGACGGCCCUAUGGGUUGUAAACUGCUUUUAUGCGGGAAUAAGAUCAGAUACGUGUAUCUGCGUGCAUGUACCG
rnacentral:rRNA from 1 species